rnacentral:rRNA from 1 species
AGUCGAAGCGGCAGCACGGGUACUUGUACCUGGUGGCGAGCGGCGGACGGGUGAGUAAUGCCUAGGAAUCUGCCUGGUAGUGGGGGAUAACGCUCGGAAACGGACGCUAAUACCGCAUACGUCCUACGGGAGAAAGCAGGGGACCUUCGGGCCUUGCGCUAUCAGAUGAGCCUAGGUCGGAUUAGCUAGUUGGUGAGGUAAUGGCUCACCAAGGCGACGAUCCGUAACUGGUCUGAGAGGAUGAUCAGUCACACUGGAACUGAGACACGGUCCAGACUCCUACGGGAGGCAGCAGUGGGGAAUAUUGGACAAUGGGCGAAAGCCUGAUCCAGCCAUGCCGCGUGUGUGAAGAAGGUCUUCGGAUUGUAAAGCACUUUAAGUUGGGAGGAAGGGCAGUUACCUAAUACGUGAUUGUUUUGACGUUACCGACAGAAUAAGCACCGGCUAACUCUGUGCCAGCAGCCGCGGUAAU